rnacentral:lncRNA from 1 species
ACUGAACAAUGGGCCUCAUUCUCUAACUCAGUUAAGAAGCCGCAGCUUUGGCUAACGAUUCCAAGGAAUUGAUCCAAUGGGAAACGGUUCUCGAUUCCUAUCCUAACUUUGACCUUCACAGUUGGUCGAAGUGAAAUGUGACGAACUCUUCUUAAUAGAGGAACAGACUAAAGUAUUCGUUACAACACUUGUUACAUCAACCGAUGGAAUUUAGCUUGCAAUAAUUUGUAUCGCAGAAGGCUGGCCUGAAGCUUCGUUUAACUGUAAGCGCACCCGGGAAUUGUUGGCUGGAAUGGAGGAACGUAAAAAAAGUGCAUACUAGACAGGCACAGACCA